UUUGCCUACGGGGGGCAGCAGUGGGGGAUAUUGCACAAUGGGGGGAACCCUGAUGCAGCGACGCCGCGUGAGUGAAGAAGUAUUUCGGUAUGUAAAGCUCUAUCAGCAGGGAAGAAAAUGACGGUACCUGACUAAGAAGCCCCGGCUAACUACGUGCCAGCAGCCGCGGUAAUACGUAGGGGGCAAGCGUUAUCCGGAUUUACUGGGGGUAAGGGGAGCGUAGACGGCAGAGCAAGUCUGAAGUGAAAGCCCGCGGACCAACUGCAGGACUGCGGUGGAG
rnacentral:rRNA from 1 species